rnacentral:misc_RNA from 1 species
GCCUGUUCGAGCGUCAUUACACCACUCAAGCCUGGCUUGGUAUUGGGCGGUAGGGCUUCCCUACGCCUUAAUUUCACCGGCUAGACGACCCGUAUCUCAGCGUUGUGGUAUUCAAUUCGCUGGCGAGAAGGGAGGUUUGCGCCGUUAAAAUUUCUAUUAAGGUUGACCUCGGAUCAGGUAGGGAUACCCGCUGAACUUAA